GUGGAGAAGGCUUUUGA
rnacentral:miRNA from 1 species